UUGACCUCGAAUCAGGUAGGGAUACCCGCUGAACUUAAGCAUAUCAAUAAGCGGAGGAAAAGAAACCAACAGGGAUUGCCUUAGUAACUGCGAGUGAAGCGGCAAGAGCUCAAAUUUGAAAUCUGGCGCCUUUGGCGUCCGAGUUGUAAUUUGGAGAGGCAUCUUCGGGUGCGGCGCCGGCCUAAGUUCCUUGGAACAGGACGUCAUAGAGGGUGAGAAUCCCGUUCUCGGCUGGCUGUCCGCGUCCAUGUGAAGUGUCUUCGACGAGUCGAGUUGUUUGGGAAUGCAGCUCAAAAUGGGUGGUAAACUCCAUCUAAAGCUAAAUACUGGCGAGAGACCGAUAGCGCACAAGUAGAGUGAUCGAAAGAUGAAAAGCACUUUGAAAAGAGAGUUAAAAAGUACGUGAAAUUGUUGAAAGGGAAGCGCUUGAGACCAGACUCGGCGGGAGGUAUUCAUCGUCCCUUCUGGGGCGUGCACUUGCCUCUCGUCGGGCCAGCAUCGGUUGCGGCGGCGGGAUAAAGACCCGGGGAACGUGGCUGCUCUCGGGCAGUGUUAUAGCCCCGGGUGUCAUGCCGCCUGCUGCGACCGAGGACCGCGCUCCGGCU
rnacentral:rRNA from 1 species